UGAGGCGUGGCUUCCGGAGCUAACGCGUUAAGUCGACCGCCUGGGGAGUACGGCCGCAAGGUUAAAACUCAAAUGAAUUGACGGGGGCCCGCACAAGCGGUGGAGCAUGUGGUUUAAUUCGAUGCAACGCGAAGAACCUUACCUGGUCUUGACAUCCACAGAACUUUCCAGAGAUGGAUUGGUGCCUUCGGGAACUGUGAGACAGGUGCUGCAUGGCUGUCGUCAGCUCGUGUUGUGAAAUGUUGGGUUAAGUCCCGCAACGAGCGCAACCCUUAUCCUUUGUUGCCAGCGGUUAGGCCGGGAACUCAAAGGAGACUGCCAGUGAUAAACUGGAGGAAGGUGGGGAUGACGUCAAGUCAUCAUGGCCCUUACGACCAGGGCUACACACGUGCUACAAUGGCGCAUACAAAGAGAAGCGAUCUCGCGAGAGCCAGCGGACCUCAUAAAGUGCGUCGUAGUCCGGAUUGGAGUCUGCAACUCGACUCCAUGAAGUCGGAAUCGCUAGUAAUC
rnacentral:rRNA from 1 species